rnacentral:rRNA from 1 species
AAUGUAAAAGACGGCUUUUGCUGUCACUUUUGGAUGGGCCUGCGGCGUAUUAACUUGUUGGUGGGGUAACGGCCUACCAAGGUGAUGAUACGUAGCCGAACUGAGAGGUUGAUCGGCCACAUUGGGACUGAGACACGGCCCAAACUCCUACGGGAGGCAGCAGUAGGGAAUCUUCCACAAUGGACGAAAGUCUGAUGGAGCAACGCCGCGUGAAUGAAGAAGGCCUUCGGGUCGUAAAAUUCUGUUGUCAGAGAAGAACGUGCGUGAGAGUAACUGUUCACGUAUUGACGGUAUCUGACCAGAAAGCCACGGCUAACUACGUGCCAGCAGCCGCGGUAAUACGUAGGUGGCGAGCGUUGUCCGGAUUUAUUGGGCGUAAAGGGAACGCAGGCGGUCUUUUAAGUCUGAUGUGAAAGCCUUCGGCUUAACCGAAGUAGUGCAUUGGAAACUGGAAGACUUGAGUGCAGAAGAGGAGAGUGGAACUCCAUGUGUAGCGGUGAAAUGCGUAGAUAUAUGGAAGAACACCAGUGGCGAAAGCGGCUCUCUGGUCUGUAACUGACGCUGAGGUUCGAAAGCGUGGGUAGCAAACAGGAUUAGAUACCCUGGUAGUCCACGCCGUAAACGAUGGGUGCUAAGUGUUGGAGGGUUUCCGCCCUUCAGUG